rnacentral:rRNA from 1 species
UACGGGGGGGGCAAGCGUUGUUCGGAAUUAUUGGGCGUAAAGGGCGCGUAGGCGGCCAUGCGUGUCUUCCGUGAAAUCCCUCGGCUUAACUGAGGACGUGCGGAAGAAACUGCAAGGCUCGAGUCCGGGAGAGGGGGGUGGAAUUCCCAGUGUAGCGGUGAAAUGCGUAGAUAUUGGGAGGAACACCGGUGGCGAAGGCGGCCCCCUGGACCGGAACUGACGCUGAGGCGCGAAAGCGUGGGUAGCAAACGGG